UUCUAACAAUUAUUUUUGCCCCUUCAAUGGCUAAUAAAGAUAAUCUAGCUGAUUUUAGUGGUAUUUAAGGUUUGAAAUAAAUUAGAGAACACGAAUAUUGAAAAGAAAAUUGAGAAUAUCCAAAGAAAACAAGAGAAAACCUCCAAGAGAAGUGAAUGAGCAUUGAAUGAGAAAGCAUUCAAGUGAACAUCCAAAUCCUCCAAAGAGCAUUUACUCAAGUUUUAAAGAAGAAGCAUUAAAGCUUUAUAGAAGAGUCUCUAAGACUCGAUAUGAAUUAUCUUGGCCACUAUAGAUGUUCAGAAGGAUCAUCAUACUCGAUGUUGACUAUUUUAGCUACUAUGAGCAAAAUUAGAUAGGGUUCAAGAGUAAGAUCUGCCACAUCAGAAAGCAAAAUCGUAUUAUCUUCUAAUCUAUAAAGAAUUAGCAGGGUGAUAGAAGGCAGAGUUUAUGUAUAAAUUGGGAUCUACCUUCUAUAGGAUUUUAAUAUUUUUUUCAUGAAUUUUAUAUUAAUCUGUUUAUUUAAAAGAUCUAAUCCUAUUCAAAUUAGGAAGAGAAAUUUAACCUAAAUUAUUCAAGGAUGAAUAUCCUUCUAAAAAUUAGAAAGAGAAAUUCAAUCUGAACUAUAAAAGAAAGGACGUCACUAUUAUAAGUGGAAGCUAUGUACUUUAAUUUAGGUGUGUGGAGAAUCAAUGAAAGAAAGGAACUUAAACCCUACUUUCAAAACUUUUCUCCCUUCUGCUAGUUUACUUUUUAAUUCAAGUUGAAUGAUUCGAUGAAAACUUUUAUUCUCCUUGACAAGAUCACUAUUUAUACACUAGGUCUAGAAGAUAGUCUCUCAUGUUAUGGGAGUUAGCUCCUCUUAGGAUGGUUGAUGCAGGGGUCAUCUUUUGGUCUUUAUGAGACCGCUCUAGUUGCUUGACCAAUCUUCAAGAGUUGCCUCAUGCAAGGAGUUGGUUCUACUCUCGUGACUCAAAGCCUAGAUCUUAUUGUUUAUAGGAGUCUUCUCCUCAUUGUUAGGAGUUAGCUCCAUCAAAACAAAUAGCUUAGAUCAUGAAUGAGUUGAAUGAGAUUCGAGUUGAAUGAGAUGAAGUAUCUUCCUUCUUCCCAUCUAGAUUAUGAAGAUAUCAAAUCUUCAUUAUGCAUGUCCAUACCAUCUUAUUUGACCCUCCAUCAUUUUGUCUUUAAAAUGAGCUACUCUAGAAGCUCUUUUAAUAUACUAGUAUUUCAAUCUAUACUUCUAGUUUGUUGCAUCUGUCUUAACAUUCUUAAUUUUGCUUUAGUCAACUUAUUUUACCUAAACCUCAUUUAUUGCAAACAUUUUGAACCAUGCAAUAUUGAAUAAAUUUUACAAUUGUUUCAUAAAUUUUUUCUUUAUGUCAUUUAGGUACACAUCAAUCAUCUAAUACCCAUGAAGCACCUUUCCAAUUUAUCUAGCCAACUCUAUCUUAUUCCACAUAUCUUCAUCCAUACUUCAUUAUUUUUAUAAAAUAGAUUAUAGAUCCCAAUUGUGAAGCCUAUCACUUCAUAGUAUCUGUUAUAUAUUCAUUAAACUUCAUUGAGUUCUUAUUUGUAUUUCUAUUUUUACUAAAUUGCAUUCCACAAACUGUAUAUAUUUUUGCUCAAACUUUCUUUUAUAAAUUUAGUUAGCAUUUAGUUUACUUCUUUUCUCGAGGUUUUC
rnacentral:lncRNA from 1 species